rnacentral:rRNA from 1 species
UACGUAGGGUGCAAGCGUUGUCCGGAAUUAUUGGGCGUAAAGAGCUCGUAGGCGGUCUGUCGCGUCUGCUGUGAAAACCCGGGGCUCAACCCCGGGCUUGCAGUGGAUACGGGCAGACUAGAGUUCGGUAGGGGAGACUGGAAUCCCUGGUGUAGCGGUGAAAUGCGCAGAUAUCAGGAGGAACACCGGUGGCGAAGGCGGGUCUCUGGGCCGAUACUGACGCUGAGGAGCGAAAGCGUGGGGAGCGAACAGG